GUGGGGAAUCUUCCGCAAUGGACGAAAGUCUGACGGAGCAACGCCGCGUGAGUGAUGAAGGUCUUCGGAUUGUAAAGCUCUGUUAAUCGGGACGAAAGAGCCUAGUGUGAAUAAUGCUAGGAAGUGACGGUACCGGAAUAGAAAGCCACGGCUAACUACGUGCCAGCAGCCGCGGUAAUACGUAGGUGGCAAGCGUUGUCCGGAAUUAUUGGGCGUAAAGCGCGCGCAGGCGGAUCUGCCAGUCUGUCUUAAAAGUUCGGGGCUUAACCCCGUGAUGGGAUGGAAACUACAGAUCUAGAGUAUCGGAGAGGAAAGUGGAAUUCCUAGUGUAGCGGUGAAAUGCGUAGAUAUUAGGAAGAACACCAGUGGCGAAGGCGACUUUCUGGACGAUGUCUGACGCUGAGGCGCGAAAGCUAGGGGAGCGAACGGGAUUAGAAACCCCAGUAGUCC
rnacentral:rRNA from 1 species